GACAGAGGGGGCAAGCGUUGCUCGGAAUCACUGGGCGUAAAGGGCGCGUAGGCGGGAGGCCAAGUCGGUCGUGAAAUCUUCGGGCUCAACUCGAAGGGGUCGGCCGAAACUGGUUUUCUUGAGGGAGGCAGAGGAGUCUGGAAUUCCCGGUGUAGCGGUGAAAUGUGUAGAGAUCGGGAGGAACACCGGUGGCGAAGGCGGGACUCUGGGCCUACCCUGACGCUGAGGCGCGAAGGCGUGGGGAGCAAACGGGAUUAGAAACCCCCGUAGUCC
rnacentral:rRNA from 1 species